GCAGCAAUUCACGAGUUCUACAAUCUACAGAAGAAGCAAAAGGAUCAUAAGGACAUACCACAGUUCAAUUAGUUGAGGGCCAAUCAUUGCGCAGAAUCAACAUCACUGACCACAGAUCCAACAGCAUUGAUUUAUACUGAUUCACCACUGCACCGCCUGCUUGACACUAUCUAUUUGACUGAUUCUCCUCUGUUUUGGUCGCAAGAAUCCUUUGUUUAGCAAAGAGAGAACCUACAGACCCACCUUUGGUAAGGUUCAGUAAAAAUAUGACCAUAACAAUAUAUCCACCAUGAAUUCACAUUGCAGUAGGGUAUAUGCACUCAGUCUCAAUGAUAAAAUAUAAUAAGUCAACAAGGAAUAAAUGAACCUUUUAGUGUCUUCCAAGCUGUCAGUUUUACCAUGUUUGAGACCGUAAAUUAUCACAACAGUUCGUAUUCUAGCUUCAUGUUGGAUAAGUGAAACAGGAAAGCAUGAAAUUUCACCUGACCCUACACUUGUAGUAUAUUAUCAUUUUUCAACACGGAUGCCUAACAUGCCAUUUUGUUUCUGUCAGACCCAUUUUUCAUUUCCCAAGCAUUUUAUUUUGUCUGUAUGUAAUUGUUCUUAUGCAUGACCAUAUCACACACGACAUAAGACUCUCAGUAAGAAGGACGAAAAGGAAAACUAAAAAGAAGGAAAAUUAUGAAUUAGUUAACCUACUGAACUAGUGGCUGAAAACUUUCAAAUUUGGUUUAAAACCUAGAAUCACUAAAGCUGCAGUAACACACAGUAACUUUAUAGUCUUACAAAGAUGGAUAUGUAGAUAACCAUGCAGGAAUUUCCAUCACCAACUAGAACCAAGUCAUUUUGUAAUUCUUAUGUUACUCAAACUCAGGUGCAAGUCUCAAAUAUGGGAAUGUGUUCAACAUGUAUAUGUUCAACUUUUUGAAAUGUACUUUUAUUGAGAGGGUCAUCUACAUACCAAUGUCCUAAAAUGUAUAGGACAUCUCGGAUGCAGGUACUUCAAGAAAAAUGAAUAAUCAGAGCAUGUAAAAGUAUUCAACAUUGACUGCCCUCUAUUGUUCUUAUCAGCCACAUUCGACUAGUUAAUAUCUUCAACUUAACAUCUCAGUGAUUAAAUAGUUGCUAUAAUAGCAUAAUAAAGAGGAGCUUCAUUAAACUCACAAUUUCUACAUUUCUUGAAAAGUUAAUUAGAUAUUUUUUCCAUCAUGAUAACGGUUACAUCCAUUGCUACUACAUAGCAAUCAAUUUAUUUACUAUCCCAAGUUUGCAAUAGAUCUAGCAGAAAUUUAAAUGCUUCAUCACAUACUCCCUUUUGUACAACAAAAACAAGAAUAUCUAUCCAUAGACGAGCUUUGCUAAAUUAGAGACUUUAGAUUUGGAACUUAUACUAGAAAGGAAUUCAAAUAUAUUGUUUUCACAGUUGUUAAUUAAAGCUUUAGCAAAGAUCCACCAGCAACAUCUAUUAUGAUCUAUGUUACUCAGACUCAAGUGUGAGUGUCGAAUAUGGGUAUGUAUCUAAAACAGGUAUAAUUAGAUUUUUCUAAGCUUUUCCAUAUAUUUGGAGAAUCUGUGGAGCCCAUAUCCCUAUAUCCAUGUGUCAAACAUAAGUCUCAGGCAGUUUUACUUCAAGAAAAAUCGAGUCCAAGCAACAUAGUCUAUCAUAUUUGUAGCCAUUCAUGAAAUAUGGCUUUAUUACCUUUGUGCCGCUUUUUCAGCUCAGUCAUAUUCACCAAGUUGCUAGCAAGACAUUUUCAUGGACAACAGUAACAAAUGCAGAAAAUACAUAUUAUAGAGAAAUGCUAAUGUCAAUGAAUAAUGUCUGAGACUGGCUAAGAAUGCAAAUAACUUCAAGAUUCCAUGGAAGCAAUACUACGAAGUACUGAGAUCACAAGCCAUGAACUUUUGCUAAUGUUCAUUAAUUGGCAGCAGUCAAGUAGACAGCAGACAAUUUCUUAGCAGUCACUGUAAAGAUGUAAAAUCUGAUUGAGGGUUUAUUCAUAUACAGUGGCAAAUUGACAACAUACUAAAUGCAACUAGAUUUAUGAAACAUAACAUGGGAAGAAACGUGUAUGUGAAGAGUUAGAUUUUAGUCACAACUGUGGUUAUAAGCUAACUCAAUGCUUUCCAUGUUCCAAACUGGCAAAAUUAAAUAGAACAUUGGUUGAAAAAUUAAAAUUCUUUAAAUUCAACUUCAACAUUAUUGUUAUGUUUUGAGUAUUAAGAUGUUUAUUUGAGUAAAUUAUCAUUUAUUCUCAUCCAUCACACAAUGGCUAUUCAGUUGGAAUACCCCACACAAAAGCAGACCAACCAAGGAGCAUCGGCAGACUUAACUUUUGUGUCCAUAAUGAGAAAAGAUCUUCUAUUGUCAUAUCCUUUGAACCAACUGAAAUCUGACAAAAUAGUCUCCAAAGCCCCCACUAGUAAAACCAGUUUAUUUCACCAAAUACAAAGUAAAUCAUUUAGUGUAAUAAUAAUAGUCAAUCAUCAACAUCCUAAGCAAAAAGUUGAAUGCAGAUUUACAUGUUGGAAAGGGCGGUAACAUAUAACAUGGCACACUUCAAAACAAUGAUCUGAAAUAGUUGAAUGUGGUGAUUAAUUGCAUCUUAGCAUACAGAUUUAAUGGACAUGUGAGUGAUUCAUAUGUGCCACCAUAAGAAAGAUUUUCAAGUGUAGCAAUCUGUGACAAAUCAUGCAAAAAUAACUAUAAAAAAAAGUGACAAUCAAAAUAAAGAAAGGAAAAAGUCAAAACUCCUAAUACCCACCAUGCACAUAAACAAUAGCGGAUGGCUCAUAAACAGUGGAGAAGCCAGGGGGGCUGGCAGGGGCCUCGCCCCCCCCUAAAAUUUUCCAUUUAGGCCCCUUUAUAAUUUAUAAAAUUUUAAAUUAGUGAUGGUAAAAUUGCACUUUGCCCUCCUAAAUAAUAAAAAUUUGAUUUAAUCCUUUAAAAAUUAUAAAGAUAUAGGCUAUUCAACGGUGAAAUUGCAUUUUUACUAUUGUAAAACUAUACAAUUUAAUUCUGACCCCCCCCCCCCCCAAAAAAAAUAUUUUUCUGGCUUCGCCCCUGCUCAUAAAGAAUUUCGAGCUCUAGGACUAAAGGACCCACCUCUCCAUUAGGCUACCUGAUGUGAUCUUGACAAAUAAUAGCCAACCCAAAUCUUGUAAUGAUCUCUGUGUUUCUCUCCAGCCAUCUUUAUCUCAGACGAUAGGAGGCACCAACGACCUAAUUUAUCUCACAUUCAUAAACAGUUCAACAUCAAAUUGUUAAGUAGAUCAAACUCCACUCACCAUCUACAACAAGUGACCGAAUUUGGUAUCCUGAAGAGAGCAGAGAUGAAGGUCUACACUUUUCACUUAUGGCAGGUCAAAGUGAUGUUCAAUUCUAUGGGUUGAUUUUUUUUCUCUUGGAUGCAGUUACUAGGUUGGAUGCACCGUAAGUUCCGCCAGAAUAGCAGUGAACCGCUCAAGGAUUUUGCCAUUGGUAAGUGUCAUCUUGCAAUGUAACUUUUUUACGAAGACAUUUAUAUGAGAGAUGUAACUUAAGGGGCAUUCUUUAAUGACUGAUUUUACAUGUCCACAAGAGCCUUUAAAACAUGAAUCCUAAAGAAAUCUGAACAUCAUAGUCUUCAUGUUGCUCACUUUGAUACUGGAUAGGACUUAAGAUGAACUAAAGCAAACUCUAUAAUGAUAAAUACGUAGAAAUGGAAUAAAUAUAAAGCUUUUUUUCCCUUCUAACUCAAUGUUGUCAUUGCUGAAAUGUUAAGCUAGAACUUAUUUUCUAUCUAACCUCACCAUCACUUAUUUUCCAUCUAACCUCACCAUCAUCCAAAAUUUUCUAUUUUAACAUAUUCUUGUAAUUGUCUUACAGGGCAGCCAUCAUUGGAUGACCAACAAUUCUACUCAAAGCCAUACUAUGGCACCACGCCUUUCAGGCAACCCCAGAGUCAUCUUCGGAAGUCUUUUGCUGGUAUAGAAUCAGCACAGGUAGAAGAGGAAGACUAUGAAGAAGAAUCAUCAUCAGCAAUAUCUGAGCUAUUCCAUGGCUUUCUUGCAAUUGGUACCCUUGGUUCGGACCCAAACAUUCCCGACCCAUCAACACCAACAUUUACUAUUUCUGUAGAAAACAUAACUGAAAAAGAAACAGAUGUGACAGAGAAUGAGCUGAAGCUCAUUAAUUAUGAGUUGGAGAGGGUUCUAGGAGCUGAAGCAAAAGAAGAAGGCUGCAACGACUCAUCUGGAAGAAACAGUCAUGUCAGCACUGGAAGAAGCAGUCACGUAAGCACUGGAAGAAGCAGCCAUGGCAGCACAAUUACACUUAGUAGAAAGUCAAUCGAAGGUUUAGAUUCCAAUGGGAAUGGCAAUACAGUUUGUCCACUCCAAGGUUAUCUUUUUGGCUCAGCAAUUGAAUUGUCAGAAACAACUACAGUAGCGAAAAAGGAACACAGGACCUCACUUGGAGAGCUGUUUCAGAGGACUAAACUAACAGAGGAGAGUUUUGGGAGUAAAUAUGACAAGGAGGAGAAGCGAAUGGAGAAGGAAGGAGAUAAAUCUGCAGUGCACAUUAUGAAAAAAAUCUUGAAGAAAAAAAUGCUCAAUGCAUCCAAGAGCUCUGCUGCAGCUACUAGCGGAAAUAUCGAUUCUGCCUCAGCAGAAACAAAACUGCACAAGGUAUGCUGAAACCAAAAAGAAAAAAGAAAAAAAAAAGAACUCAACCAAGAUAAGGACCAAUUUGAAUGGUCUGCAUAUCAAGUAUGCAUUCAUGAUAGUUCCUAUUCUUUUUUCUUUCUUCUGUUGCUUUUUUCUCUAUAUCUUCUUUAUUUCAUGAUUUACAAAUAAUUAAAAAAUGACCGUUGGUUUGAGUUUUAAUCAAUGUGCUUAAGAUUAAUAUUAUAGACAAGGUCAAGUUCCCUAAUUCCCAGAACUGUGGCAUGUAGAUUUUACACAAGUUCCACAGAAAAGUUCAUCCUGAAAGCUCAGCAGCCACAUAUAAGCAUGGCAAGCCCCAAAAGAAUGAGAACAAGAAAAGCAUUGGUUAUAAUGGAGGUCAAGAGAAUGGAGUUCCGAUCCUUGCGGAGGAAGACAUAGUGAUAUUUCCUCAAAGAGCCCUUUCAAAGGACAUGCGACGUUACAAUAGCCAAGCAAAUCCAUCUCAAUUCACACUUAGCUGCAAUGAUUCGAAUGGGAACAGGGAGUGCUGGAUCAAAACAGAUGCAGACUGUAAGUAUACAAGCAUUUAACAUUUUCAGUAUCCAUAAGAAACCCUGUUCAUGGACUGCCUAUAAUUCAUUGUUGAAAUCUCAUACUUGUCUAAUUUUGUUGUUUGUUUCUUGAUUUCUUUCUAAGAAUAUUUGGUUUUUUUUUUUUUUUCUGAUAAUUACUUUCCAUUAUAGAGAUCCUAAUAUGGAUGCCUAUAGCCAUGCAAUAAAACCUAGUGGCGACUUAUAGUUCUAAUGUCUUUUUAUCCUUCUAGCAUAAUGACCCUACAGUGAGCAUAGUGUCAGUCGAUGAGUCAUGACAUUUUUUGCACAUGGUGGAAUUGAAUACCAAAAAGGCAUAUGCUUAAGUCGAUUGUUUGCAACUGUUGCACAUAUAUACCAGUGUGGGACUAUUUCGAGUUAUCAAAAUAGAUUCCUAAUUCGUAAAAUGGUUUGUGUUCGCAGAUCUGGUGUUGGAGCUCUAAAAGGCAGAAGCAAACUUCAUAAUGCGGUUUCCCAAUUAUCAUUCCCAGUUACUAAGAAUGAAAAUGAAUGGAGUUUCCCUGUGUUUGUCAGAUUUUCUAUUAUUAGUAGUAGUAAUUAUUGAACUGGUGUUUCCGCGUGGCUAUUUUACAAAACAGCUUGACCAGCAACCUAUAUGUGAGAAUGCAUAAUGUAAAAUUGUAAGACAUUUAUCAUUUUCCUUCCAAACAAUAUCUCAAUUACUAUUGAAGUUAAGUUACUACGAAUUCUCUGUAUUAUAUAAGAUAAACCGGAUACCUUUGAAGCAACUUGGCUCCUCUAAACUCACUAGGAUCUUAGUAAUUUUCUUACUUAUCCCAAAAUUUUACAAUUUGAUCCUAUUUUAUUCCGGUUCCUGAUAUAAAUUUCUUGGCGGCGCCUCCAACAGAAUAUUCUUGGACACCUUACCUUGAGGCAAAACACAUCAUCUAACAGCAGACAACCAGAAAUCUACAAACAAACGUGAACCAGUCUACUUUUUUUUUCUUUUUUCCUCAUAACAUUUCCUACAUAAAGUACUGCAAAUUCAACCAAUCCAAAAAUAGUGGUGGGAAAUAAUUCAGCAAGAGUAGUCAGAAACAAAAAUUCCAUUUUUCCUUUUGCUUUUACGAUAAUAUAAGAAAAUAAAAAAUUGUGGGUUCCAGAAAAAAUAGAAGGAAAAAAAAAACUUAGCCUCACAAAAAAUGUAUAUGCCAUUUAGUUGGCAUUAAGUCAAGUUUUAAUGGCCAAGAAAUGGGAAUUUUAGAAAUAAAGAAAAACACGGAGAAACAAACAGAGGGCAAACCACACAAGUCUUUGCAAUUAUAAGUUUAUCAACAAUGGUGAUUGCCAGCCUAAUGAAAUUCAUUGAAAACGCCAACUAGAAACAGCCGAGGAAGGAAAAUUUUGCAUGUAAGAAAAGAAAGAAAGGGUUCACAUUCUAUGUAAAGUGGGAUUUCUAUGAAAUUUCUGGAACAUUGAAUGAAAGGAAAAGGUGGGUUACCUGGAAAGAAAGGAUUGAGUGGCCAUUGUUUCUGGUUCGCUUCCUUCUAUGUCUUGUUUCCUUGUCGUUUGUUGUAUUUGUAAUAAAAAUGGUCAGUUUUCCAUGAAUUGAAAGUCUCCUGGAAGCUUUCCUUUGUCACAGAGAAGAAAAAAAAGGGUAGUUCUUUGCUACAGCUCCCCAUUAAAAUAUAACAAAAAAAAUCUGCA
rnacentral:lncRNA from 1 species